rnacentral:rRNA from 1 species
AUUGAACGCUGGCGGCAGGCCUAACACAUGCAAGUCGAGCGGUAACAUUUCUAGCUUGCUAGAAGAUGACGAGCGGCGGACGGGUGAGUAAUGCUUGGGAACAUGCCUUGAGGUGGGGGACAACAGUUGGAAACGACUGCUAAUACCGCAUAAUGUCUACGGACCAAAGGGGGCUUCGGCUCUCGCCUUUAGAUUGGCCCAAGUGGGAUUAGCUAGUUGGUGAGGUAAUGGCUCACCAAGGCAACGAUCCCUAGCUGGUUUGAGAGGAUGAUCAGCCACACUGGAACUGAGACACGGUCCAG